rnacentral:rRNA from 1 species
CAGCAGCCACGGUAAUACGAAGGGGGCUAGCGUUGUUCGGAUUUACUGGGCGUAAAGGGUGCGUAGGCGGAUUGUUAAGUCAGGGGUGAAAUCCCGAGGCUCAACCUCGGAACUGCCUUUGAUACUGGCGAUCUUGAGUCCGGGAGAGGUGAGUGGAACUGCGAGUGUAGAGGUGAAAUUCGUAGAUAUUCGCAAGAACACAGGUGGCGAAGGCGGCUCACUGGCCCGGUACUGACGCUGAGGCACGAAAGCGUGGGGAGCAAACAGGAUUAGAUACCCGUGUAGUCCCUGUCUCUUAUAC